rnacentral:rRNA from 1 species
UACGUAGGGGGCUAGCGUUGUCCGGAAUCAUUGGGCGUAAAGAGCGUGUAGGCGGUCCGGUAAGUCCGCUGUGAAAGUCGGGGGCUCAACCCUCGAAUGCCGGUGGAUACUGUCGGGCUAGAGUGCGGAAGAGGCGAGUGGAAUCCCUGGUGUAGCGGUGAAAUGCGCAGAUAUCAGGAGGAACACCUAUUGCGAAGGCAGCUCGCUGGGACGUAACUGACGCUGAGACGCGAAAGCGUGGGGAGCAAACAGG